GAUGAACGCUGGCGGCGUGCUUAAUACAUGCAAGUCGAGCGAACGGACGAGAAGCUUGCUUCUUUGAUGUUAGGGGCGCACGGGCGAGUAACACGUGGAUAACCUACCUAUAAGACGGGGAUAACCUUGGGAAACGGUAGCUUAUACCGGAUAAUAUUUUGAACAGCAUGGUUCAAUAGUGAAAGACGGUGUUGCGGUCACUUAUAGAUGGAUGCGCGCUGCAUGGGCGAGUUGGUAAGGUAAAGGAUUACCAAGGCAGCGAUGCGUAGCCGACCUGAGAGGGUGGUCGGCGACACUGGAACUGAGACACGGUCCAGACUCCUACGGGAGGCAGCAGUAGGGAAUCUGCCGCAAUGGGCGAAAUCCUGACGGAGCGGCGCCGCGUGAGUGAUGAAGGUCUUCGGAUCGUAAAGCUCUGUUAUUAGGGAGGAACAUAUGUGUAAGUAACUGUGCACAUCUUGACGGUACCUAAUCAGAAAGCAACGGCUAACUACGUG
rnacentral:rRNA from 1 species